rnacentral:rRNA from 1 species
UACGUAGGGGGGCAAGCGUUGUCCGGAUUUAUUGGGCGUAAAGAGCGUGUAGGCGGCCUGACAGGUCUGCUGUGAAAACUCGAGGCUCAACCUCGAGAUGUCGGCGGAAACCGUCUGGCUAGAGUCCGGAAGAGGAGAGUGGAAUUCCUGGUGUAGCGGUGAAAUGCGCAGAUAUCAGGAAGAACACCCCGUGGCGAAGGCGGCUCUCUGGGACGGUACUGACGCUGAGACGCGAAAGCGUGGGGAGCGAACAGG